UACGUAGGGUGCGAGCGUUGUCCGGAAUUAUUGGGCGUAAAGGGCUCGUAGGCGGUGUGUCACGUCGGCCGUGAAAACCUGCAGCUUAACUGUGGGCGUGCGGUCGAUACGGGCAUCACUGGAGUUCGGCAGGGGAGACUGGAAUUCCUGGUGUAGCGGUGAAAUGCGCAGAUAUCAGGAGGAACACCGGUGGCGAAGGCGGGUCGCUGGGCCGAUACUGACGCUGAGGAGCGAAAGCGUGGGGAGCAAACAGG
rnacentral:rRNA from 1 species